UCCGAUUAUAGAUGAUCUUACAGCCGAACCUCUUAACCCCGUCUCAAACGCCCGGUUAUUGACUGGUCACAGAAAAGCGACCCGAACUUCUUAGACUGGGAAUCAAACGCUAAGGCUGACCCUCACCCCUCAUAUACAACCAAAAUAUGGGACGAAUAUGGGAACUCACGAUAGCCCGACCCCAUCAUAAUUUACACGAAAUCUACCAAACCUUUCGUCCUCCCCCGCCUCCCUACUGCCAUUACCGCGCCCAAGCCCUCGCCAUCCGUCCCCCCUUACUUGC
rnacentral:lncRNA from 1 species